GUUUUUAGCCUCUAAGCUCUGCCAGCAUGCCCAAGUGGAAUGAGAUGUUCAAGGCCCAAGCGCAAAUGGACAUGCUCCGGUGAAAAGCUUCUGCAAAGUGGGAGUGAAAUGUUUCAGCUGCACAAAGAAAAUCUUUACCUCCCCAGCUGGACCUCUGAGUGAGUCAGGACCUAAUUUGGGUUGAAAAAGACCUCAGGACAUCUCCAGCCCAAUCUCCUGAUCAAAGCAGAACCAGUACACACUGUCAUCAAGAGCCUGUGUUUGUUUCCUGGAUGACCUCCCUGUAGAUAUUGGGAUAUCCUCCUCACUGAAGCCAG